AUGGGCAGUGCUAACCCAGAGUACGAAUGCUAUUUUACCAUUUUCCAGAGUAAUUCUGAGAUAAAGAGGGAAACGUUGCGUAGCGCCCACAGCAGCUGCGGUGAGCAGCAGCAUGGAACACACCCACAGCUGCCGCGCCCGAAGCGGGCAGCACGUUUUAAAAUAAAGACAGCCUGCCUGGCCCGGGAUGCACAGCCUGCCGGCUCGCAGCCCCCACCCACCCCACGCCUGCCAAACAGCAGGCGCCCAGGGAGUUCCAAGUCUGAAAGGCCGGGGAGAGGACCACCCGAGCCUGCCGCAGAGGCCCUGCCGCGAAGCCAGGGCGCACCACGCGCAAGCAAGCCACGACCCGACCCAGAGACGCCCACCGACUGCCGGGCAUCGCGGACAAAGCCUAGCCCGCAAGAUCCUCGUUCGGCAAGCACUAUCUCUCACCACCCCCAAACGGACCGGAGCCCAGUGCACAGAAAGGGCACAAGCACACCACCGGCUCUGGGCCUGGACACAGAACGCACGCACACCUGUCCUCGGGCUGACUACACACACCUGUCUGCAGGCCGGGCACCCUCACAUCUCACACCCACCAUCAGGUCCACCCCAACCCCAACCACCUCAAGCAAAGGGCUCGCACACAACUAUCUUGGCCAGGGACACACACGCACUCACGCCCAUCCAAAGGCCGGGCACGCGUGCAGACCAUGGCACCCUCACACCCACCACCCUCGGGCCCCUGCUCUUACGCAAACCCGCCUUCACACUCCCUGGCCCUUGGCCGCGGCGUCCUCCUGCGGACCCUCCCCUACCGGGUCACCUGGGGCCCCGAUUUCUAGCACGACUGGACUGGGGGGCCUCCGCCUGGGCCAGGCCGUGGGGCCGCAGCGAGGCCUCUCCGCCAUCUUCCCGGCCCGCGCCGCCCACCUCCCGCGCUCUCACCAGCCGGCCCUGCGCCCGGAGCGCCGCCACUGCCCCUCAUCACCGACCGCACGCUGCGCCCCAGCUCCCGGCGGCUCCCGGCCGCCGUCGCCGCCGCAGCCAGCGCUUCACGUCCUGGGUCUCCGCCGCUGGUCCAGUGCGCUGCGGCCGCGCGUCCCCCGUCACCAAGCGCAACCCCCCGCCUCCGACUCCGCCCCCGCGAGGAUGGUGGCGCCGCCAGGGGGCGCCGCCCGCGAGGCUGCAAUGCGCCUGCGCCACCGCGCAGCCCCUCGGGAGCUCCGAGGGAGCCUUGCCUCUGUCGGAGGCCCCGCCCCCGAUGCCGCGCUAGCCGGCCGUUCCGCUCUCACCUGUACCCGCCCACUUCUGGAGGUCUGGGUCACCUCAGACAAAUAAAAUGGCCCAAAGCUCUUCCAGGACUGCACACAGCGUUCCAUCUGUAUCCAGACCAAGAGAGCUCAGAGCCUUCCACACCCCGCAGUGCUGCAGACCCAAGCCCUGGGGAUCUCCACUGUGCUCACACUUAGCACGUCCUUGCUGAGUCAUCCUGGGCUCUGCUCUUAGUAAGCUGACUUGGAUGAAGGAAGACCGUCUCCUCCCUGCGGCUGAAGAAACAUUACCAACAUGGCUGACUGGAUUCCUUUUGAGUGUUUUUUGUUUGUUUCAAUAUUUUUGAGAUGUUUGUUAUGUUUUAUGUGCUUGCCUGAACGAGUGUCUGUCCCUGUACCACACAUGCAGUGCCUGUGGAGGCCCAGAAGAGGUCAUCAGACACCCUAGGAUUGGAGUUGCAGACGGUUGUCAGCUGCCCUGUGGGUGCUAGGAACUGAACCCAGGUCCUCUAGAGGAACAGUAAGUGCUCUUAACUGCUGAGCCAUCUCUCCAGCAAUGCCCACCGCUAACCCCUGCUGCCUCUCCCCCCCCCCCCCACUU